AGGAGCGUGCGUGCAAACGCAGUGGGUGGUGGGAUAGAUGGGGAUGUUUCCAUCAUGGCGGCUUCCAUUUCGGGCUAUACUUUUAGUUCUGUGUGUUAUCACAGCGCUAACAGCAACUCUGAUCAUGAGGGCUUCCUUUUAGGAGACGUAAGGCAAGAGGAAACUGUCAGCAUCAGUGAUACACAGAUCAGCAGUGCUGAACUCCUCCAAGUAGUAGAAGUCCAUAAUCAUGAACCUUGUGCACAGCUAUUUAGCUUUUAUGAUUAUGCUGGAAAAGUCAAUGAUGAGAAUCUUAACAGAAUUCUUAAAGACAGACAGAAAAAUGUCAUCGGCUGGUACAGGUUCAGGAGGAACACGCAGCAGCAGAUGUCGUUCAGGGAGCAGAUCAUCCACAAGCAGCUGACCCAGCUCCUGGAUGUGCCCGACCUGGUCUUCCUCCUCUUCAGCUUCAUCUCCACAGCUAACAACUCCACACACGCACUGGAGUAUGUGCUGUUCAGACCCAACCGCAGCAGGUACAACCAAAGGGUGACCCUCCGCAUCCCCAACCUGGGCACCACCAGCCAGCAGGAAUACAAAGUCUCCUCUGUCCCCAACACCUCACUCAACUAUGCCAAGGUCAUCAAAGAGCACGGGGCUGAAUUCUUUGAUAAAGACGGUGUGAUGAAGGAUAUCAGAACAAUUUUUCAAGUCUACAGUGCACUACAAGAUAGAGUGCAAGCUGUAUGUGGAGAGGUUGAACAGAGUGAGCGCGUGAAAGAGAAAUUCCAGGAGGAGGUGAACAAACUCAAACAGCAAAUUGCUCUCAGGAAACAAAAAUCCGCGGAGGCGGAGAGAAGACUCCAGGAGGCGCAGAACCCUGAGCAACAUCCUACUCCUGAGGAGAACUCUGAGCCCCAGGAGACCUCCCUCCUGUCUAGGGUGGUCGUCUACACCCCAUCCACCCCCGAGCGGCCAGGUCCCUCUGCAAACCCCCCUUCCUACGCAGACCUCCUCUCCUUGCAGGAUGACUCGCUCCUCCCCUCCUUGUCCUCCCCUACCAGUGCUGCGCUGCUUCCCCGUCCCCAGGCUGUGGGCUCUCCAGGCCACCCUUCUCCCAGUCCUCUGGGUCUGAAGCUCAGUGCGGGCCCCAGCCCUGCUCCUAGCCCCAGUACGCCCUACCUGGGGAACGGAGACGGAUCCAGCUCUGACUCCCUGGACAGACAGGCUGCAGGGCAAGAGGAUGAUGAUGAGGAGGAGGAUGAUGAUGAUGAUGAGGACAGCAGUGAGUAUGAGAACCUUGUGAGCGAGGUGGCACAGUUGCCCCCAGUUACUGCCCGUGUGUUGGCGCAGGGCCGCCCGGCCGCCCUCAGUCCAGACGGCGAUGCCUCAGUCCAUGGCUCACAGACUUCGUAGACGCCAGCCAUGGGGACACAAUUAACUGACACGCUGGGAGAGGAUGGCGUCCCAACCAAUCAAAGAGAGUAGUCUUCUAUAUUACAGAGGAAGUGCCAGUCCGGAAAAUAAAAGGCAUGUGUAUUUCUGUUCGCUUUUAGUUUGAUAACCAUUCUGGGGGGUAAUGUCAUGCUUCAUGGGCUAUAAUUUUCUGUCUAGUGUGGUAAAGCUAGUCAGUUGGAGCCUGGCUGCCUCCAGUGGAUGCGUUUGAUUUAGGGACUGAUUACGGAAUAAACGCCAACUGGUUUGUCUGACCUCUCCGUAUGGAUAGACCCACUCCGCUCAUCCUGGAUCAUGCUGCGUCACAUCUGCAUCAUCAACUUUGAGCAUCCAAUUGUACCAUUACCUCUUGCACUAUGUUUGCCUUUUAACAAUUUAUUUAAGACAAGAAAAGGGAAAAUGUUCUGUGGCCUUCAAACUUCUCUUUUUAGUGAGACAGGACAAAUAACAGCUAUGACCCAGAGUCAGAAGAACUCGUGGAAACCACCUCUGCAUGCAGGAUGAAGGAAGUUAGUUUCACGAGCCUAUGCUAACUAAAGUUAGCGCAAUGACUAGAAGUCUACAGGUACACUUGCAUACAAAAAAGGGUAUCUACGAGUUCAUCUGACUAUGGGUGACUAUAAAAACCAGAUUCUCGCAGUAUCCCUAAUUAAUGUCACUCAAUGUCUCAUUUUUCUUAAAUAACACUGAAACUGUAUGCGCUUUGCUGCACAUAACACAUUUAGAUGAUUUCGUUAUUGUGCUUUACCAAUGCUGUUCAGUUGUCACUUGAGUAGUACGCUUUGAUCACCUGAGCUGAGCUAGCGCAGCUUUUGUGGAUUGUAUGGGGUUGACAGGGAGAAAACACAACGUACUCUAGCUGUACUAACCAGACCUCGCUGCUGCAUCAGAGCUACCACUAAACAAGAAAACUGUGCAUCUACAUAAACCUGUCUGCUUCUUUCAUCUCAUGUCCUUGCACUGCUGGUCGUCUCCAUUUCUGCCGAGUGUUGAAACUGACUAGAAAGGCUUCCCCCAAGGUAAUUCUGAGGGAACGGUUUCCCCCCCUGUAGUAUACGUUACAGCCUUGGAACAAGACAUCUCCUGCCUGUCUUGUCAACACCAAUAGACCUCACACUCUCAAAGCUGAUUGGGCUAAAUGUGUAUGGACCUUGAUAAUGUGACAAAAAUGACCUCAAUUCAGAGUCCAGUGCCUUCUAAUUUGACAGUUACACCAGCUCGUAACUACACACACAAUGCAAGCAACUGGAAAGAAGAAAGGUUGUUCCAAUUGUGGUCAGAGUAUCCUUCACCCUGCAGUUUUAUCCAAGCCUUGUGUAUAUAGCUUUUCCCAUGUACAGCCCACAUUGUAUUUAUUGUAUGUCGCUACUUCUGCCUUAGGGUCAACUAGCUUUCCUUCAUCACUCAGCCAUACUGUAUAAUGUCAACUCAUAGCUUGGUGGAUUGGUACUCUAAUUUGUUUUAGAACAUAUUAAUUACUGAACAACAAAGUCCCACAAAAGAUUAUAAUGACAAAUUUGAGAAUGGAGUGGUUUCCACUUGAGCACUGGAAUAAACAAUGGGAGUUAAGAACAAGUAAUCAAUAAUGAAUGUACACUGUACAGUAUAUAGGAGGUUGUAGCAUUCAAACAGCACUUAUUUAUGAGAAUCUCAGUCAGGAUGGAAGUGGCUGGCAGGAGAGAAGGGUGAAAGUACUCUUAAUAACAUGGUUUGGCCCCUAGCUGCAAGUGGUCCCUGAGAGCCUACAACUUCUCCCUGAAGUACAAAGUCCCAUCACAUCACUGAUGUCUGAACAUGUCUGUAUGAUUGGUGGAACAGGAAUAGGCCAAGCUCUUUUUGUCACUUGGUUCUUAAGUGGGUUGUAAUAAUAAAAGAGACAUGCUUA